rnacentral:lncRNA from 1 species
AUGCAUGCACGACUUACUUGGCGGAUCGUUAUUUUAUUCAACUUUACGCUAAUAAGAGUUGUAUGUAGUAGAUUUGAAUUGUGCGGGAGAAGUCAAGGCAUCCUGACAGGGUCCAAAGCUGCUGCUUUAGCCAGCAGGUAUAUUCAAAAGUGCGGAAAGAGCAUCAUCUUGAACUACUCCUGGACGACGCCCACGAUGAUAAAGAUCGCCGAAAAGAUCUGCUUGGGAAUAAAUUUGU